rnacentral:sRNA from 1 species
AAAAAUUAGAAAGAAUACCAUAUUUAGUUUUAGAGUUUUAAAUAAAAUUGAGCUAACUAAAAGUUGUUGUAAUCUAAGCAUAAAUCUCACAUCUUUAGAUGUUUACUGCUGAAAUUGCAAGAGUUCUCGCUAAACAAAAAAAAAAUCUAAACAAGAGUACUCUUCAACAAGGAUGUACAACUGUUAGUAUGUUCCCCUUUAGUGGCCGAAGCGUUAACAACUCUCAAUGCUAUAGAAAUUGCAAUAGAAUUGGAAUUCGCAAAUGGUUGUUAAAACUAUCAACUGGAAGAUUUUCUCAAAAGAAUUAUC